rnacentral:rRNA from 1 species
UGAGGAAUCUUGCGCAAUGGGCGAAAGCCUGACGCAGCGACGCCGCGUGGAGGAUGAAGGUUUUCGGAUCGUAAACUCCUGUUAAGUGGGAAGAAAAGCCUAUUUUUAAUAGAAAUAGGUAAUGACGGUACCAUUAGAGAAAGCACCGGCUAACUUCGUGCCAGCAGCCGCGGUAAUACGAGGGGUGCGAGCAUUAUUCGGAAUUAUUGGGCGUAAAGGGUGCGUAGGUGGUAUGUUAAGUCAACUGUUUAAUUCCUCGGCCUAACCGAGGUCAUGCGGUAGAUACUGGCGUACUAGAGGGUGGAAGAGAGAAGUGGAAUUCUCGGAGUAGCGGUAAAAUGCGUAGAUCUCGAGAGGAACACCAAUGGCGAAGGCAGCUUCUUGGUCCACACCUGACACUGAGGCACGAAAGCGUGGGGAGCAAACAGGAUUAGAUACCCCCGUAGUCC